UCAUCUGUCUUUUGUCAGCAGUCUUUUCAGCACCAAGUCAUACAACCCCAUAUUAUGGGACCAUGCAGGGCAAGCACAAGAAAUAAUUCCCCCUUCCCAGUCCAGAAGAGAUGGAAUAAGAGCAAGAAUCCAAGAGUUACUUAAAUGUGGAGAGAAUGAAGCAGAAGAGUCAGAAAAUCUAAUCUUAAAACAUGGAAACGAUUGAUGCAGUCCUGUGAUCAGCAAAAGCAGAGUUAACACAGAUGCACAUUUCUUAAUUAUGCCCUCUGUUUUCAUCUUCCUUGGGGGGAGAAGACGUUACUGCAGGAGGAGACUUGCAAACAGGCCUUUCAUUGAGGGUUGAAGGAAAGAAGACAGAGACCUGGGUAAACCAUGCUAACUAUAAGAACAAGAGCAAGGUGGAA
rnacentral:lncRNA from 1 species